rnacentral:rRNA from 1 species
CAGCCGCCACGGUAAUACGUAGGGUGCAAGCGUUAAUCGGAAUUACUGGGCGUAAAGCGUGCGCAGGCGGUUAUAUAAGACAGAUGUGAAAUCCCCGGGCUCAACCUGGGAACUGCAUUUGUGACUGUAUAGCUAGAGUACGGCAGAGGGGGAUGGAAUUCCGCGUGUAGCAGUGAAAUGCGUAGAUAUGCGGAGGAACACCGAUGGCGAAGGCAAUCACCUGGGCCUGUACUGACGCUCAUGCACGAAAGCGUGGGGAGCAAACAGGAUUAGAUACCCGGGUAGUCCCUGUCUCUUAUAC